rnacentral:rRNA from 1 species
CGGCGAACGGGUGAGUAACACGUGAGUAACCUGCCCUCCACUCUGGGAUAAGCCCGGGAAACUGGGUCUAAUACCGGAUAUGACCUCCUGUCUCAUGAUGGGGGGUGGAAAGUUUUUUCGGUGGGGGAUGGACUCGCGGCCUAUCAGCUUGUUGGUGGGGUAAUGGCCUACCAAGGCGACGACGGGUAGCCGGCCUGAGAGGGCGACCGGCCACACUGGGACUGAGACACGGCCCAG